GCGGCGCACAUAAGACAUGCAAGUCGAACGGACUUAACCAUUAUUUUACUAUUGGAGCGGUUAGUGGCGGACUGGUGAGUAACACGUAAGCAACCUGCCUAUCAGAGGGGAACAACAGUUAGAAAUGACUGCUAAUACCGCAUAUGCCUUAAUUACCACAUGGUAAUAGAGGGAAAGGAGCAAUCCGCUGAUAGAUGGGCUUGCGUCUGAUUAGAUAGUUGGUAAGGUAACGGCUUACCAAGUCGACGAUCAGUAGCCGGACUGAGAGGUUGAACGGCCACAUUGGGACUGAGAUACGGCCCAGACUCCUACGGGAGGCAGCAGUCGGGAAUAUUGCGCAAUGGAGGAAACUCUGACGCAGUGACGCCGCGUGCAGGAAGAAGGUUUUCGGAUUGUAAACUGCUUUAGAUAGGGAAGAAACAAGACAGUACCUGUAGAAUAAGCUCCGGCUAACUACGUGCCAGCAGCCGCGGUAAUACGUAGGGAGCAAGCGUUAUCCGGAUUUAUUGGGUGUAAAGGGUGCGUAGACGGGAAUGCAAGUUGGUUGUGAAAUCCCUCGGCUCAACCGAGGAAUUGCAACCAAAACUAUAUUUCUUGAGUGCUGGAGAGGAAAGUGGAAUUCCUAGUGUAGCGGUGAAAUGCGUAGAUAUUAGGAGGAACACCAGUGGCGAAGGCGACUUUCUGGACAGUAACUGACGUUGAGGCACGAAAGUGUGGGGAGCAAACAGGAUUAGAUACCCUGGUAGUCCACACCGUAAACGAUGGAUACUAGGUGUAGGGGAUGAAUAAUCUUCUGUGCCGUCGCAAACGCAGUAAGUAUCCCACCUGGGGAGUACGGCCGCAAGGUUGAAACUCAAAGGAAUUGACGGGGGCCCGCACAAGCAGUGGAGUAUGUGGUUUAAUUCGACGCAACGCGAAGAACCUUACCAGGGCUUGACAUAUACAUGAAAAUCUAAGAGAUUAGAUCCCUCUUCGGAGCAUGUAUACAGGUGGUGCAUGGUUGUCGUCAGCUCGUGUCGUGAGAUGUUGGGUUAAGUCCUGCAACGAGCGCAACCCCUGUUCUUAGUUGCCAGCAUGUAAAGAUGGGAACUCUAAGAAGACUGCCGGUGAUAAAUCGGAGGAAGGUGGGGACGACGUCAAAUCAUCAUGCCCUUUAUGUCCUGGGCUACACACGUACUACAAUGGCUGUAACAAAGGGAAGCGAACCCGCGAGGGGAAGCAAAACCCAUAAAAGCAGUCUCAGUUCGGAUUGAAGGCUGAAAUUCGCCUUCAUGAAGCCGGAAUUGCUAGUAAUGGCAGGUCAGCAUACUGCCGUGAAUACGUUCCCGGGCCUUGUACACACCGCCCGUCACACCAUGAGAGUUGGGGAUACCCGAAGCCUGUGAGCUAACUGUAAAGAGGCAGCAGUCGAAGGUAGAAUCAAUGAUU
rnacentral:rRNA from 1 species